AGAGUUUGAUCCUGGCUCAGAUUGAACGCUGGCGGCAUGCCUUACACAUGCAAGUCGAACGGCAGCGCGGGGCAACCUGGCGGCGAGUGGCGAACGGGUGAGUAAUAUAUCGGAACGUGCCCUGGAGUGGGGGAUAACGUAGCGAAAGUUACGCUAAUACCGCAUACGAUCCAAGGAUGAAAGCAGGGGACCUUCGGGCCUUGUGCUCCUGGAGCGGCCGAUAUCUGAUUAGCUAGUUGGUGGGGUAAAAGCCUACCAAGGCAUCGAUCAGUAGCUGGUCUGAGAGGACGACCAGCCACACUGGAACUGAGACACGGUCCAGACUCCUACGGGAGGCAGCAGUGGGAAUUUUGGACAAUGGGCGCAAGCCUGAUCCAGCAAUGCCGCGUGAGUGAAGAAGGCCUUCGGGUUGUAAAGCUCUUUUGCCAGGGAAGAUGAUGACUGUACCUGGAGAAUAAGCCCCGGCUAACUUCGUG
rnacentral:rRNA from 1 species